UGGGGAAUUUUGGACAAUGGGGGAAACCCUGAUCCAGCCAUCCCGCGUGUGCGAUGAAGGCCUUCGGGUUGUAAAGCACUUUUGGCAGGAAAGAAACGUCAUGGGUUAAUACCCCGUGAAACUGACGGUACCUGCAGAAUAAGCACCGGCUAACUACGUGCCAGCAGCCGCGGUAAUACGUAGGGUGCAAGCGUUAAUCGGAAUUACUGGGCGUAAAGCGUGCGCAGGCGGUUCGGAAAGAAAGAUGUGAAAUCCCAGAGCUCAACUUUGGAACUGCAUUUUUAACUACCGGGCUAGAGUGUGUCAGAGGGAGGUUGAAUUCCGCGUGUAGCAGUGAAAUGCGUAGAUAUGCGGAGGAACACCGAUGGCGAAGGCAGCCUCCUGGGAUAACACUGACGCUCAUGCACGAAAGCGUGGGGAGCAAACAG
rnacentral:rRNA from 1 species